rnacentral:rRNA from 1 species
AUUGAACGCUGGCGGCAUGCCUUACACAUGCAAGUCGAACGGUAACAGGUCUUCGGUUGCUGACGAGUGGCGAACGGGUGAGUAAUACAUCGGAACGUGCCCGAUCCUUGGGGAUAACGAGGCGAAAGCUUUGCUAAUACCGCAUACGAUCUACGGUUGUAAGCGGGGGAUCUUCGGACCUCGCGCGGACGGUGCGGCCGAUGGCAGAUUAGUUAGUUGGUGGGAUAAAAGCUUACCAAGCCGACGAUCUGUAGCUGGUCUGAGAGGAUGAUCAGCCACACUGGGACUGAGACACGGCCCAGACUCCUACGGGAGGCAGCAGUGGGGAAUGUUGGACAAUGGGCGAAAGCCUGAUCCAGCCAUGCCGCGUGCAGGAUGAAGGCCUUCGGGUUGUAAACUGCUUUUGUAAGGAACGAAAAGCCUCGUACUAAUAAAGAGGGGUCAUGACGGUACCGUAAGAAUAAGCACCGGCUAACUACGUG